rnacentral:rRNA from 1 species
UACGUAGGGACCAAGCGUUGUCCGGAAUCAUUGGGCGUAAAGCGCGUGUAGGCGGCUUGUUAAGUCUUGCGUGAAAUCUCGGGGCUCAACCCCGAGCGGUCGUGAGAAACUGGCAGGCUAGAGUGCGGGAGAGGAGAGUGGAAUUCCUGGUGUAGCGGUGAAAUGCGCAGAUAUCAGGAAGAACACCCGUGGCGAAGGCGGCUCUCUGGAACGCAACUGACGCUGAGAAGCGAAAGCGUGGGGAGCAAACAGG